UACAGAGAGGGCAAGCGUUGUCCGGAAUGACUGGGCGUAAAGCGCGCGCAGGCGGUCUUUUAAGUUGGGUGUGAAAUCCCCGGGCUUAACCUGGGAACUGCAUUCGAUACUGGAAGACUAGAGGCCGAGAGAGGAAAGCGGAAUGACGAGUGUAGAGGUGAAAUUCGUAGAUAUUCGUCGGGACACCAGAGGCGAAGGCGGCUUCCUGGCUCGGACCUGACGCUCAGGCGCGAAAGCGUGGGGAGCAAACAGG
rnacentral:rRNA from 1 species